rnacentral:misc_RNA from 1 species
AUACUGCUCCGGCUUGUUAUUAUGUCAGUAUAAUCUCUCCCCUCUUCUUUAUAGAUGUUUUUUCGUUUAUUCUAUUCUCUCUAGCUGAAAUUUUUGUGUUUAAAUGCUUAAAUUGUAUAUGUAUGAUGUCUCUUGUUGCGAAUAUAAUAGAGAACUUGUUCGUUUUUUUCCUGCUUUGCUUGGAUUAUUCUAGUGUUAAUGUGCUUAGCUAGAAUGUGUUGGUGUGUGUUAUUUUACUUAUUUAUUUGUUGGCUAUGGAGCAGCUCUGAAGUAAUUGGAAAACUACUAAUUAUGUGUUUUUGGUAUGAUGAGUAUAGAGGCGUCUGUUUUAUCUUAUUUGACUAGAAUAUUAGACUAUGGUCACAUACACACUUACACAACCACUCCAAAAAAAACUCCAUCAUAUUUAGUGGCACCCAUUUUGCUUUUCUCUUCAUUAAAUUCUUGUGGUUAAUCUAUUGUUUGAUAUUCAUGAUAUGAUGGAUUUAGUUGCUUAGCUAUAACUCUCAAGUCAGAGGGUAGAGAAAUGGAAUUUGCUUUUCUCUUCAUUAAAUUCUUGUGGUUAAUCUAUUGUUUGAUAUUCAUGAUAUGAUGGAUUUAGUUGCUUAGCUAUAACUCUCAAGUCAGAGGGUAGAGAAAUGGAA